ACAGUCAAAUUGUGUUGAAAACACCAGUUCUCAUUCAAUCACCAAAGUUAAGCAGUCUCAAGCCCAGACAGUACUUAGAUGGGGGACCACCAGGUACUGUAUGU